AGCGUACACGGUGGAUGCCCUGGCAGUCAGAGGCGAUGAAGGACGUGCUAAUCUGCGAUAAGCGUCGGUAAGGUGAUAUGAACCGUUAUAACCGGCGAUUUCCGAAUGGGGAAACCCAGUGUGAUUCGUCACACUAUCAUUAACUGAAUCCAUAGGUUAAUGAGGCGAACCGGGGGAACUGAAACAUCUAAGUACCCCGAGGAAAAGAAAUCAACCGAGAUUCCCCCAGUAGCGGCGAGCGAACGGGGAGCAGCCCAGAGCCUGAAUCAGUGUGUGUGUUAGUGGAAGCGUCUGGAAAGGCGUGCGAUACAGGGUGACAGCCCCGUACACAAAAAUGCACAUACUGUGAGCUCGAUGAGUAGGGCGGGACACGUGGUAUCCUGUCUGAAUAUGGGGGGACCAUCCUCCAAGGCUAAAUACUCCUGACUGACCGAUAGUGAACCAGUACCGUGAGGGAAAGGCGAAAAGAACCCCGGCGAGGGGAGUGAAAAAGAACCUGAAACCGUGUACGUACAAGCAGUGGGAGCACGCUUAGGCGUGUGACUGCGUACCUUUUGUAUAAUGGGUCAGCGACUUAUAUUCUGUAGCAAGGUUAACCGAAUAGGGGAGCCGAAGGGAAACCGAGUCUUAACUGGGCGUUAAGUUGCAGGGUAUAGACCCGAAACCCGGUGAUCUAGCCAUGGGCAGGUUGAAGGUUGGGUAACACUAACUGGAGGACCGAACCGACUAAUGUUGAAAAAUUAGCGGAUGACUUGUGGCUGGGGGUGAAAGGCCAAUCAAACCGGGAGAUAGCUGGUUCUCCCCGAAAGCUAUUUAGGUAGCGCCUCGUGAAUUCAUCUCCGGGGGUAGAGCACUGUUUCGGCAAGGGGGUCAUCCCGACUUACCAACCCGAUGCAAACUGCGAAUACCGGAGAAUGUUAUCACGGGAGACACACGGCGGGUGCUAACGUCCGUCGUGAAGAGGGAAACAACCCAGACCGCCAGCUAAGGUCCCAAAGUCAUGGUUAAGUGGGAAACGAUGUGGGAAGGCCCAGACAGCCAGGAUGUUGGCUUAGAAGCAGCCAUCAUUUAAAGAAAGCGUAAUAGCUCACUGGUCGAGUCGGCCUGCGCGGAAGAUGUAACGGGGCUAAACCAUGCACCGAAGCUGCGGCAGCGACACUAUGUGUUGUUGGGUAGGGGAGCGUUCUGUAAGCCUGUGAAGGUGUACUGUGAGGUAUGCUGGAGGUAUCAGAAGUGCGAAUGCUGACAUAAGUAACGAUAAAGCGGGUGAAAAGCCCGCUCGCCGGAAGACCAAGGGUUCCUGUCCAACGUUAAUCGGGGCAGGGUGAGUCGACCCCUAAGGCGAGGCCGAAAGGCGUAGUCGAUGGGAAACAGGUUAAUAUUCCUGUACUUGGUGUUACUGCGAAGGGGGGACGGAGAAGGCUAUGUUGGCCGGGCGACGGUUGUCCCGGUUUAAGCGUGUAGGCUGGUUUUCCAGGCAAAUCCGGAAAAUCAAGGCUGAGGCGUGAUGACGAGGCACUACGGUGCUGAAGCAACAAAUGCCCUGCUUCCAGGAAAAGCCUCUAAGCAUCAGGUAACAUCAAAUCGUACCCCAAACCGACACAGGUGGUCAGGUAGAGAAUACCAAGGCGCUUGAGAGAACUCGGGUGAAGGAACUAGGCAAAAUGGUGCCGUAACUUCGGGAGAAGGCACGCUGAUAUGUAGGUGAAGUCCCUCGCGGAUGGAGCUGAAAUCAGUCGAAGAUACCAGCUGGCUGCAACUGUUUAUUAAAAACACAGCACUGUGCAAACACGAAAGUGGACGUAUACGGUGUGACGCCUGCCCGGUGCCGGAAGGUUAAUUGAUGGGGUCAGCGCAAGCGAAGCUCUUGAUCGAAGCCCCGGUAAACGGCGGCCGUAACUAUAACGGUCCUAAGGUAGCGAAAUUCCUUGUCGGGUAAGUUCCGACCUGCACGAAUGGCGUAAUGAUGGCCAGGCUGUCUCCACCCGAGACUCAGUGAAAUUGAACUCGCUGUGAAGAUGCAGUGUACCCGCGGCAAGACGGAAAGACCCCGUGAACCUUUACUAUAGCUUGACACUGAACAUUGAGCCUUGAUGUGUAGGAUAGGUGGGAGGCUUUGAAGUGUGGACGCCAGUCUGCAUGGAGCCGACCUUGAAAUACCACCCUUUAAUGUUUGAUGUUCUAACGUUGACCCGUAAUCCGGGUUGCGGACAGUGUCUGGUGGGUAGUUUGACUGGGGCGGUCUCCUCCUAAAGAGUAACGGAGGAGCACGAAGGUUGGCUAAUCCUGGUCGGACAUCAGGAGGUUAGUGCAAUGGCAUAAGCCAGCUUGACUGCGAGCGUGACGGCGCGAGCAGGUGCGAAAGCAGGUCAUAGUGAUCCGGUGGUUCUGAAUGGAAGGGCCAUCGCUCAACGGAUAAAAGGUACUCCGGGGAUAACAGGCUGAUACCGCCCAAGAGUUCAUAUCGACGGCGGUGUUUGGCACCUCGAUGUCGGCUCAUCACAUCCUGGGGCUGAAGUAGGUCCCAAGGGUAUGGCUGUUCGCCAUUUAAAGUGGUACGCGAGCUGGGUUUAGAACGUCGUGAGACAGUUCGGUCCCUAUCUGCCGUGGGCGCUGGAGAACUGAGGGGGGCUGCUCCUAGUACGAGAGGACCGGAGUGGACGCAUCACUGGUGUUCGGGUUGUCAUGCCAAUGGCACUGCCCGGUAGCUAAAUGCGGAAGAGAUAAGUGCUGAAAGCAUCUAAGCACGAAACUUGCCCCGAGAUGAGUUCUCCCUGACUCCUUGA
rnacentral:rRNA from 1 species